rnacentral:rRNA from 1 species
UGGGGGAUAUUGCACAAUGGGGGGAACCCGUGAUGCAGCGACGCCGCGUGAGUGAAGAAGCGCCUCGGCGCGUAAAGCUCUGUCAGCAGGGAAGAAGAUGACGGUACCUGACCAAGAAGCCCCGGCUAACUACGUGCC